rnacentral:rRNA from 1 species
AAUUAUAAUAUUAUUAAUUUUUUAAAUUUUUUUAAUUUUUAAUGAAAAAUAAUUAUAUUUUAUUAAUUUGAAGAAAAAAUUAAUUUUAAUUAUAGUAAAAUAGUAUUGAGAAAGAAUAAUUGAUUUAAUAAAAAGAAAAAUUUAAUUUUUGUAUCUUGUGUAUCAGAGUUUAUUAAAUAAUUUUGUAAUAAUUUUAUAAAUCUCGAAUUUAAAAGGGCUAAUUAAAUAAAAUUGUUAAUGUAGAAUAAUUAUAUUAAAUAUUUUAUUAGUAAUGAAAUGUUAAUCGUUUUUAAAUAUAUCUAGUUUUUUAAGAAAUUAAUUUAAUUAAUUUAUUAUAAAUAUAUUUUUAUUUUUUUAAUUAUAUAUUAAUAAUAAUAAAUAUUUUUAGGGAUGAGCUUAAAAAUAAAUUUUUAUUAAGUAUUUUAAAAAUAUUUAAAAUUAGAAUUAAAAAUUUUCAUAUUUUUAAGUAUGUUAUUAUUUAUAAUUUAUUAUUAUUAUUUUUAUGACUUAUAAAUGUUUUAUUAAAAUAUAAAUUUUAAUAUAUAAAAUUUAGAAAUAAUGAUAAAAUUAGUAUAUUGAUUUGUUAAAAUUUGAAUAAUUUUUAGGUUUAAUAAAGGAAUUCGGCAAAUGAUUUUUCACCUGUUUAUUAAAAACAUGUCUUUAUUGUUUAAUAUAUAAAGUCUAGCCUGCCCAAUGAUAUUUGAAUGGCCGCGGUAUUUUGACCGUGCUAAGGUAGCAUAAUCAUUAGUUUUUUUAUUGAAAACCGGAAUGAAGGGUUGGAUGAAAAAAUAGCUGUCUCUAUUAAAAUUUUAUAAAAAUUUAUUUUUAAGUUAAAAAGCUUAAAUAAAUUUAAAAGACGAGAAGACCCUAUAGAGUUUUAUAAUUUAUUAAAAUUAUUUAUUUAGUAUUAAUUAAAUAGUUUUAUUAAAUUAUUUGAUUGGGGUGAUUUAAAAAUUUAUUUAACUUUUUUUAUAUAAUUAUAUUUAUUUAUAAAUUUAUGAUCCAAAAUUUUUGAUUAAAAGAAAAAAUUACCUUAGGGAUAACAGCGUAAUUUUAUUAGAGAGUUCUAAUCGAUAAUAAAGAUUGCGACCUCGAUGUUGGAUUAAAAUUUAUAAUUGGUGUAGAAGCUAUAUUAUUAAGUCUGUUCGACUUUUAAAAUUUUACAUGAUCUGAGUUUAAACCGGUGUGAGCCAGGUUGGUUUCUAUCUUUAAUUAGUUAAUAUAUUUUAGUACGAAAGGACCAAGUAUA